GUGCUUGUUUAGACAGCACAUGUACUAAAAUUGGAACGAUACAGAGAAGAUUAGCAUGGCUCCUAUGCAAGGAUGACACACAAAUUCAUGAAGCAGUCCAUAUUUUU
rnacentral:snRNA from 1 species